rnacentral:misc_RNA from 1 species
AACGCACAUUGCGCCCUUUGGUAUUCCUUAGGGCAUGCCUGUUCGAGCGUCAUUUACACCCUCAAGCGCAGCUUGGUGUUGGGCGUCUGUCCCGCCGUCCACGGCGUGGACUCGCCUCAAAACGAUUGGCAGCCCCUUCGGCGGCUUUGAGCGCAGCAGAAUUGCGUCUCUCGCGGCGGAACGGUGGCCUCCAGAAGUCUCCUUCUCCAGUUUGACCUCGGAUCAGGUAGGGAUACCCGCUGAACUUAA